GAUGAAGAACGCAGCGAAAUGCGAUACGUAAUGUGAAUUGCAGAAUUCAGUGAAUCAUCGAAUCUUUGAACGCAUAUUGCGCUCUCUGGUAUUCCGGAGAGCAUGCUUGUUUGAGUAUCAGUAAACACCUCAACUCCCCUUUCUUUUUUUGAAAUGGGAGCUGGACUUGAGUGAUCCCAACGCUUUUCUCACCGAAAAGUGGCGGGUUACUUGAAAUGCAGGUGCAGCUGGACUUUUCUCUGAGCUAAAAGCAUAUCUAUUUAGUCUGCCUAAAAAACAGAUUAUUACCUUUGCUGCAGCUAACAUAAAGGAGAUUAGUUCUUGUGCUGACUGAUGCAGGAUUCACAGAGACAGCUUCGGCUGGCCUUUGUAAACUCGAUCUCAAAUCAAGUAAGACUACCCGCUGAACUUAAGCAUAUCAAUAAGCGGAGGA
rnacentral:misc_RNA from 1 species